AUGAACGCUGGCGGCGUGCCUAAUACAUGCAAGUCGAGCGAACGGACGAGAAGCUUGCUUCUCUGAUGUUAGCGGCGGACGGGUGAGUAACACGUGGAUAACCUACCUAUAAGACUGGGAUAACUUCGGGAAACCGGAGCUAAUACCGGAUAAUAUUUUGAACCGCAUGGUUCAAAAGUGAAAGACGGUCUUGCUGUCACUUAUAGAUGGAUCCGCGCUGCAUUAGCUAGUUGGUAAGGUAACGGCUUACCAAGGCAACGAUGCAUAGACGAACUGAGAGGGUGAUAGCCCACACUGGAACUUAAACACACUCAAUACUCCUACGGUAGGCAGCAGUAUGGAAUCUUACGCAAUAGGCGAAAACAUUACACAACAACGCCACGUGAGUUAUGAAGGUCUUCCGAUCGUAAAACUCUGUUAUUAGUUAAAAACAUAUGUCUAAUUAAAUGUACACAUCUUGACGGUACCUAAUCAAAAAGCAACGGCUAACUACGUG
rnacentral:rRNA from 1 species